AGCAGCCGCGGUAAAUUCCAGCUCCAAUAGCGUAUAUUAAAGUUGUUGCAGUUAAAAAGCUCGUAGUUGAAUUUUGGAUUCUGCCAGUUGGUCCAUCUUUUGAUGAGUACUGAUUGUGUGGGGUCUAUCCGCCUGGUGAGACGUAAUGUACUUUAUUGCGUGUUACGGGUAGCCAGGACCUUUACCUUGAAAGAAUUAGAGUGUUUAAAGCAGGCUUAUGCCGGAAUGCAUUAGCAUGGAAUAAUAGAAUAGGACGAUGUUGUUUUAUUUUGUUGGUUUCUAGGACAACCGUAAUGAUUAAUAGGGAUAGUUGGGGGCAUUAGUAUUCAAUUGUCAGAGGUGAAAUUCUUGGAUUUAUUGAAGACUAACUACUGCGAAAGCAUUUGCCAAGGAUGUUUU
rnacentral:rRNA from 1 species